AAUCAACGCUGGCGGCAUGCCUAACACAUGCAAGUCGGGCGAGAAAGGGUAGCAAUAUCCGAGUACAGCGGCGCACGGGUGAGUAACACGUGGGUAACCUGUCCUCUGGGUGGGGGAUAACCACUCGAAAGGGUGGCUAAUACCGCAUAAGACCACGUCUCUGAGGAGAUGCGGUAAAAGGGGCAAGACGCCUGAGGAGGGGCCCGCGGCCGAUUAGCUGGUUGGUGAGGUAACGGCUCACCAAGGCGACGAUCGGUAGCUGGUCUGAGAGGAUGAUCAGCCACACUGGUACUUAGACACGGACCAGACUCCUACGGGAGGCAGCAGUGGGGAAUAUUGCGCAAUGGGCGAAAGCCUGACGCAGCAACGCCGCGUGGGUGACGAAGGCCUUCGGGUCGUAAAGCCCUGUCAGGUGGGAAGAAACCUGUCCUCGAGACAGCUGACGGUACCACCGAAGGAAGCACCGGCUAACUCCGUGCCAGCCGCCGCGGUAACAC
rnacentral:rRNA from 1 species